rnacentral:rRNA from 1 species
UACGGAGGGUGCAAGCGUUGCUCGGAUUUAUUGGGCGUAAAGGGUAGGUAGGUGGUCUUAUUUGUCUAGGGUGAAAUCCUUGAGCUUAACUCAAGAAGUGCCCUAGAAACGGUAAGACUAGAGUCCUGGAGAGGGUCGUGGAAUUCCUGGUGUAGCGGUGAAAUGCGCAGAUAUCAGGAGGAACACCGGUGGCGAAGGCGGGUCUCUGGGCCGAUACUGACGCUGAGGCGCGACAGCGUGGGGAGCAAACAGG